UGGGGAAUAUUGGACAAUGGGCGAAAGCCUGAUCCAGCCAUGCCGCGUGUGUGAAGAAGGUCUUCGGAUUGUAAAGCACUUUAAGUUGGGAGGAAGGGCAGUAAGCGUAUACCUUGCUGUUUUGACGUUACCGACAGAAUAAGCACCGGCUAACUCUGUGCCAGCAGCCGCGGUAAUACAGAGGGUGCAAGCGUUAAUCGGAAUUACUGGGCGUAAAGCGCGCGUAGGUGGUUCGUUAAGUUGAAUGUGAAAGCCCCGGGCUCAACCUGGGAACUGCAUCCAAAACUGGCGAGCUAGAGUAGGGCAGAGGGUGGUGGAAUUUCCUGUGUAGCGGUGAAAUGCGUAGAUAUAGGAAGGAACACCAGUGGCGAAGGCGACCACCUGGGCUCAUACUGACACUGAGGUGCGAAAGCGUGGGGAGCAAACAGG
rnacentral:rRNA from 1 species